CUUUUACACACAAGUUUAUCAAAACUUUUCAACAUGAAAGUACUCGUCUUAACAUUGUCUUUAGCCGUUUUUGCGAUCAUGGUAGACGGUUUGCUUCGGUCUGAAUGUCCAAAGGAUCGUCCAAGAGUUUUUUGUAAAAGAAACCCAUGCCGUGAACGUUAUGCUGGUUGCAAAAAUAUAAGAGGGGCUUAUUGCAGGCCAUACUACUGUGGUGGGUGUUUCAGGCGCUGGUAUAUACGGAUCUUUGAAGUGACCGGCUUAUGUUAUCCACGCUGAGCUGAUCAUCUUUCUUUGUGGGGAAAUAGAAUAAUAAAAAUUGUGAGCUUAU